GUCCAGAAUCAAGUCCUAAUCAAAGAACGUUUCCAGUCUCGGUGGAAGGUAGUCUGCAACUUCUGCCCAAGGGACUUUCAGAAUUGCCAUGGACAGGGCCUGCCUGGUGGCCCCCCCGUGAGAAGGUAUUCUUCCUGCUCCAUUGACAUCAGGCUUAUUAGCCAUGUUUCUGGAUUUGGUCCAUUUUAUCAUAAAGAGAACAUGGAGCAGGGCUGCAGCUGAUCUUCAAAGGGCAUGAACACAAGCCAGAGAGAAGCCAUUAUUGUUGUAAGCCCUGAAGAUUUGGGGGAUAUUAUUGCAACACAACUCAGCCCAAGCUGACUAAUACAACAAGUUUCUAUGUAUACAUGGAAGUGUAUGUAAUCUUAGCCUCAAAAAAAAAAAAAAAAGAAAAGAAAGAAAAAAAGAGUAUCUGAAAAUCCCAGGAUACUCAGGGCUCAUGGUGCAUAGUCAAUGAAAUGAUUAGCUCUCUUUCUUCAUCCUUCCCUCUCCAAUCUUUCCUUGUCACUCUCUUUCAUCUCAUUCUUCUUCUCUCUGUGAUUUACAAAGCUGGUCAUGGAAAAAAAACACAGGAGUCAGAAGGCUUCCAUUCUAGGUUCAUAUGUAUGAGAUUUUUUGGAAAAAACUCAUACUCUCAAGGAGUCUCAGUUCCCUCAUCUUCAAGUGGGGAUAAUAACACCCUCUUUACCUAUUCUGCUGGGUUCUUUUGUAGAUCACAUGAAAGAGAGGUUAUGGAAAUCCUUUAUAUAUGUUUUGAAAAUUCUAUCCAGUUGCUGCGGCCUGAAUGUUUGUGUUCUUCAAAAUUUAUGUGUUGAAACCUAAUCACUGAUGUGAUGGUGUUUGAAGGUAAGGCUGUUAGAAGGUGAUUGGCACAAACCCCUCAUAAGAGAAGCCCCAAAGAGAGCUAGCUUGCCUGUUUCACCAUGUGAGGACAUGGUGAGAAGAAGCCAUGUAAGAAUCAGGAAACAGGUCCUCACCAGGCAUGGAAUCUGUCAGCACCUUGAUCUCGGACUUACCAGCCUCCAAACUAGUGACAAAUAAAUUACUGUUCACUAGCUGCCCAAUUAAUGGUAUUUUAUUAUGAUAGACUGAACUGACUAGGACACCAGUUAUAUGAUGAAAAUACCCUACUACUAUUACUACUGCUAGUACUUCCUAUAUUUGCUCAUAUUUUUGGAGGUCUUAUUAUGUUCCAAGUAUGGUUCUAAGUGCUUUUCAUCAGUAACUCUUGUAAGAGCCUAUUUUAAAUUCAGCAAAGGCAACAAAAUACUUUCCCUGGUUUAGUGAGGAGUAUUAACUAAUUGGGGGUAUAAACAUAACAUGGUUUCGUUUUUUCAAUAGUUGCUACUACUCUUGUUCUCCAUAGCAACUUUGGUUUCAAUUCCAUAACUUUCCUGUUGUUUCUGUUCAAAGGAACAGUUGCCUCUAGUUCCUCUGUCUAUUUUAAUAUUUUGACCCUCUCCAUUCCUGUCAGGACAGGUGGAACUCGUGGCAUAGGAAGUUCAAGUGGCAGAGGGGGCCCAGUCUGUACUUGUCUCUACUCCCCCAGAGGAGGAAAGAAAGCAAGACAGAUGCUCCCUCACGUGGAUGUCCGUGGUAUAGUUGCUGUCCUCCCCUUGGGUGGCCAUGACUGCUAUUCCUGUCCACUGAGCUUCAUGAGGGUUGCGGUGCCUCCCUCACCAGGAGCAGACUCUGGGGUCCCCCAGCAGGAGGCACCGUGUGUAUUCCUCUGUGGGCCUUGUAUGGUCCUCCUUCCCCUUCUGCUGCGUGGGUCCCUAGGGAUGCCAUUGCUCCAAAAAUACUGGCUUUCCCAAGCUCUUCAACUCCAGGGCUCAAAAUCCCCUGAGGAUCGCCUUCCUGUAGGUCUUGAGAAUUGCAACUUGGGGGCAGUCCUGACCUGGUCAUCGUCCUCCUCACCACCUCACUGUGCCAUCUCCUCACCUCAUUCUCCAACCCCCAAAAGAUGACCACUGAUGACCAGUCUCCAGGUCAGUGGAGAACGUGUGUGGAGAAGUGCAGGAGGGGUGACAAAGCAUCCCCAAACCUUACAAGUUCUGUCCUUGAUUUUGGAGAAGAAAUCCACUGGGUAGUGCCCACCACCCCCUCACACAGCUCCAGCUAGAAGUAACGAUUUACUCCCUCCCUACACUCCUCUUAUUUUGUCUUUGAGGGUUGGGGUGCUGGUUUUGCUGAAAUGACUCUGCUCAGUCAGGCUUGUGAGAGUGGGAGAGCAGGGGGCAAAGGCAGGAAGGGAAGCAACCAGGCCUUUCUCUGCCUGUUCUCUGAACUCAGAGUAUGGGGUACUAAGGACCUGGGUUCUCUGCUGUGGGCCCAAAGAGGAAAAAACAAGAUCCACUUGGUACCUACCUAAUACCCUGUCACACAGAGGUACAACAUCUCCAGCUUGAGGUGGUGUCCUGUGAGUGAUAGCAGCUCCAGGAUGGUGCAUUUACCACUGAGGAAAAGUAGAAUGAGCCCCAGCGUUGGGGGAGCGAUCUGGGAACUGCCCUCCUAUUUGCUCCCACAAUAUCCUGCAGGUUCUAUGAUACAGGUAGUUAGAGCUACUCACUAGGCUGCCUGUCUUCCCCUCCACUGCAGGACAUGCCUGUAUUUUGUUCUCAUCUGUUGCUGUAGUUUGGAUGUGUUAUUUUUUUUUCCUUUGCAUGAGUUUCCAUGCAGAACACAUGUUGGAAUUUAACUGCCAAUGUAAUGGGUGUUGGGAGGUGGGGCCUUUAUCCAAACUUUAAUUAGGUCAUUAAGAUGAUUAGUGUCCUUCUCUGGAGAGACUAGAUUAGGUCUCUUGGGAAUGAAUUAGUUCUCGUGAAAGCUGGUUGUUAUAAAGUGAGGCUGCCUCUCGUGUUUUGUGUCUUUGUACGCUUCUGCUUCCCCUUCCUUCUGCUUUCCACCGGGAGUCAAAGCAGCACCAAGUCCUCACCAGAUGGGCUGCUGGAUCUUGUACUUCCCAGCCUGCAUGACUGUAAGCUCCAUAAACCUCUUUUUAUUCCUUGUAAAUUACCCGGUCUUAGGUAUUCAACAGAAUUGAAUUGCUUAGGUAGCAACACAAAACAGAUGAAGACAUCUGUAUUCCCAGGACCUGGGACAGCACCUGGUAUAUGCAACCUACUCAGCAAAUGUUCUCUAGAAUCUUUAGAGAUUUGGGAAUAUGAAGGAAAAAAAACCUAGAAAAAUGGGGUGGCAGAUAUAUUCCAGAUAAAAAAUAUUUCAGGUGAAUUCUACAAAUCAGGGUGGGUUUCAGACAACUAUGAAUCAUGAGUAUACUUGUUGGGGGAAAAAUUCACAUAGCAAAGACAGCUACUUCUUGCGGUACCCACUGAAGGACUGGGGCAAGGGCAAUGAGAGGCAUAAGCUGACUACAGAUAGUUAACCCCGACAUUUUCAACUUUAAAACAGUUUCAUUUCCUGUUUGAAAACUUUGAGGGUCUUUUUCCGAACAACUUUUUUUUUAUUAUACUUGAAGUUUUAGGGUACAUGUGCACAACGUGCAGGUUAGUUACAUAUGUAUACAUGUGCCACGUUGGUGUGCUGCACCCAUUAACUCGUCAUUUAACAUUAGGUAUAUCUCCUAAUGCUAUCCCUCCUCCCUCUCCCCACCCCACAACAGGCCCUGAUGUGUGAUGUUCCCCUUCCUGUGUCCAAGUGUUCUCAUUGCUCAAUUCCCACCUAUGAGUGAGAACAUGAGGUGUGUGGUUUUUUGUCCUUGCUAUAGUUUGCUGAGAAUGAUGGUUACUAUAGCAAAGACUUGGAACCAAGCCAAAUGUCCAACAAUGAUAGACUAGAUUAAGAAAAUGUGGCACAUAUACACCAUGGAAUACUAUGCAGCCAUAAAAAAUGAUGAGUUCAUGUCCUUUGUAGGGACAUGGAUGAAGCUGGAAACUUUUUUUUAAUAGAAGGGGCAGACAUCAAUUUUUUAAAAAUUUCAAUCUCUAGGUUUUGUUUUUAGGAACAUUUCUCAAAGGUUUUUCAUCAUGGAUAUUUGAAAAUGCUGAUGUAAAGAGACACAUCUCAAUUUCAAUGCUGUCACAGCCAUAUUGUCCUUCUUUGGAGAGUCUUCGAACUAGAGUAAGCCAUGGAAGCUUGAUAAUAUACAAUGUAGUUGCCUAUGAUGACUCACUGACCUGUCCAGAUUUGUAAUCUGCACAUUUUAAUGUAAAUUGAGUGGUUGAUUUAAAGACAUAAAUUAUUUUAAAAACCAGUAGACUAUAUUACAACAACAGCAACAACAACGACACCCUAGGAUUUCAGCAUUUUCAAACUUCAAAGAAUACUGAAAACUGGCUUAGACUCUUGUUCUGGGGAUGCUCAGCUAUGCAGAGGAGAUGCUGAGAUUUCUGGCAGCCAUCUUGUCUACUACAUAGUUAGACCUUAUAUGGAGAAUGAAGCCAAGGAAAACCAAGAAAGACACAAUCCUGAUAGAUGUCUAGGAGUCCCCAGACCCAAUGUAAAUGGAGCCAAAUUAAGACAAGCAGAGCAGAGAGAUCAGAGGGAGACAUCCCUGAUAAUUCCACUGGAAGUCCAAAUCCAGCCAUGCUUGAAGUUAUUGCAUCCCUGCUUUUCCCAUUUUCCCAGUUUUCUGAGAAAUAAAUUCCCCUUUCCUCUGUUGGUUCUGACUUUAACUAGUUUGAUUUGCGAUUUAAUCACCUGUAACUAAAAACAUUCUCUGUAAUAAACUGCAUCACGAGUUU